GAUGAACGCUAGCGGCAGGCCUAACACAUGCAAGUCGAGGGGUAGGGUUAGCUUGCUAACUUGAGACCGGCGCACGGGUGCGUAACGCGUAUGCAAUCUACCUUGUACAGAGGGAUAGCCCAGAGAAAUUUGGAUUAAUACCUCAUAGUAUCUUUACCUGGCAUCGGGUAAUUAUUAAAGUUCCAACGGUACAAGAUGAGCAUGCGUCCCAUUAGUUAGUUGGUAAGGUAACGGCUUACCAAGACAAUGAUGGGUAGGGGUCCUGAGAGGGAGAUCCCCCACACUGGUACUGAGACACGGACCAGACUCCUACGGGAGGCAGCAGUGAGGAAUAUUGGUCAAUGGACGCAAGUCUGAACCAGCCAUGCCGCGUGCAGGAAGACGGUCCUAUGGAUUGUAAACUGCUUUUAUACAGG
rnacentral:rRNA from 1 species